AGCAGCCGCGGUAAUUCCAGCUCCAAUAGCGUAUAUUAAAGUUGUUGCAGUUAAAAAGCUCGUAGUUGAAUUUCGGGAUCAAUUAAUUGGUCGUGCCUCUGGUACGUACUGAUUUUAUUGGUUUCUCCCUUCUGACGAACCAUGAUGUCAUUAAUUUGGUGUCGUGAAGAAUCAGGACUGUUACUUUGAAAAAAUUAGAGUGUUUAAAGCAAGCUAACGCUUGAAUACAUUAGCAUGGAAUAAUGAAAUAGGACGUUUGAUCCUAUUUUGUUGGUUUCUAGGAUCGACGUAAUGAUUAAUAGGGAUAGUUGGGGGCAUUAGUAUUCAAUUGUCAGAGGUGAAAUUCUUGGAUUUAUUGAAGACUAACUACUGCGAAAGCAUUUGCCAAGGAUGUUUUCAUUAAUCAAGAACGAAAGUUAGGGGAUCGAAGACGAUCAGAUACCGUCGUAGUCUUAACCAUAAACUAUGCCGACUAGGGAUCGGAUGAUGUUAAUUUUUUAAUGACUCA
rnacentral:rRNA from 1 species